UCUAUUGGUUAAAAAAAGAUGAUCAGCCAAGA
rnacentral:piRNA from 1 species